GCACACACAGACAUAUUUUUCAUCUGUGCAGUGGACACACCCACACUCUCAAUGAGAAAUUGUUUAGGCGGGUGCCAGGAAGUUUCAGCAGGCACAUGGGCCUUUUGCAGGAAGGAGUAAAGGUAUACCUGCAUGCCGUAGAACUUACACGUCAAGCAUCAUGUCCUGUGACCCAUAAUGCAGAAUUUUCUCAUGUGGAAGUGGAUGAGCUGCUUCUAGAAGAUCUAGGUUCCACAAGAGACUGAGAGUUCUAAACUUUGAGACAUUCAACAACAUCUGUUAAUGGCCUCACUGCCUUUGGCAAUUGUACUGAUUGUUGCUCACGGUAUGCUCACCAGGCACAGGCAGAGACAUGAUUUUUGUCUUUGUGGUGCUAAUGAACUUGCCACAUGAUAAGAAGAGGUCAAUCACACUCUACAUUUCUUGGUUUGUAUUGGUAGGUAAAGCACAGGACUACAGUUUCUUUCACCUGAUUACCAUCUGUAUUUGACCCAGAUUAGUCAGGAAAUGUGAGAAAAGACUAUACUGGAGCAAACAUGUUAAAGAGAAGGUGUUAGAUUCCUCUCUAUUGUUUUAAAUUAACAAAAUUUGCAUUCUUGUCUGUAUUUUAAAAAGCUAAUGUCCAUUAAUUUAUUUAUUUUUACAGUCGGUAAAUCGUGGCUGUGUCAUGUUCCCGUAAUUUUAUUACAUGUCCACUCAUUUAUAAAAUCCACACACUGUUGCUCUGCUCAGUGACUUAAUUCUAACCCAAUUAGCUGCAACUCAUUAUUUUUAUAGCUUGCAAUGUUGUUUUUUAUUUUAAAAGAAAAAAUAUUCCGUCUGGAAAAAUAGUCCGUUCGGCAGUUCCGAAAUUGUUCUGAAAUUCCUCUGGCUACAAUUAAAUAACAGUACAAUUUAUUAUUGGAUACGUUAGAAUUAAAAUUGUAAUCUUUCAGAAUAUUGAGGAUCGUGUGCUUUGUGCUGAUAUGGAAAACUAAAAAACAGCAUUUCUUGGCAAACCUAUACAAAAUAUAUAUUUUAAAUUAUAAUAUAUAUUAUAUACUUAAAUAAAUGUUAAGAAAUUAUAUAUGAGGUGAUAUUGAAAGUUUUAAGACUAAUGGUGCUGUUUACCACAUCUGCAGUUAGAACAAAGAGCAAACAUGAAAUUCUGUGUGAAACUGGGCAAAUCUGCCACAGAGGCAUUUGAGAUGACAUAUGUUGAAAAUAGUGAUGUUGCAAUUAAUAGUUUGAGGUGUUUUGAGAGGUAUGUGUGCUCAAAAUCAUUAGAACAUCACUGGAAGACAACAAGAGAUCAGGAAGACCUUCUAUGAGGUCAACCCACGAAAUGUUGAAACUAUUCAGCAACUUGUGCAUGAUGAUCGUCGGAGAACAAUCCGCAUGAUGUCACUUCCGUACCCACCCUACUCGCCAUAUUUGGCUUUCUGAAAAAGCCAAUUUCGGUGUCGAAACUAUUCUUCCUGAUCUCUUUGUAUAGCAGUACAGAUUUACUGUCCUCUGAAAAUAACUCAUCACACAGCCAUUAUUAUCUCAAUUCUAUUUAAACAUGUUUUAUUAAAAUAAAUAAAUAAAUAAAUAAAAAAGGGGUGAAAUUAAAAUCUUCAACACAACAGACAUUUAUUCAUGAUUUCCUUUCUUUACUCAGAUAUAAAAAAAAAAAAAUUGAAUCAUUAAACAUUUGUUUUACUGAUACGGCAAGUAUCAAACCAAGAACCAAAAUCUGCCAUGAUGCACACAUCCGGCAAUUAAAACCGUCCGUGUGGAAACAUAGCAAAAGUUCUGCUUGGUGUCCUGAUGAUUUACGUAAUUUAAAAAAUCAUCAUUUAAAACAUUUACAAGAAUAAUUUAUUUGUUUUUAAUGUUAAUUCCCUGCAAAGUGCAAGCAUAGCUGGAAAACUAAGAGAAAAAAAAAUUAUUUCUUGUAUUAUUUCUUGUAAAAUGGUAAAUUGCUGUGAAUCUACAAAUUACAUUUUACUACACUGAUGAUUAUAUGCUUUAAAUAGAAAAUGUUAAUUACCUGCAUGGGAGCAAUUGUAUUGAUUAAUCAAAUUUAUUUAUUAAAAUUGAUUUAUUAAAUAUUCUGUUUUAGAAAUACUUUCUACACAGUGUAUAUGUAGGCAAAAUAAUGAACAAUAAAUUAAGAAUGAUAAGAAGUACAUUUACAGAAAUAUUUUCCAUUCUGGACCCACACUUAUACAAAUUACUCAAUAUGCAUGUGCACACCACAUUAUCAAUUUAAUAAUACACUCAAUCCCACUCCAAUCUUC